CACCUCCAGGACUCAGGGAAACUGGAAGAAUCUGUUCAUCAUCUGUGAAUUUAGAACCUCAGUAAAGAGCGGGAUAAUAUAUGUUCAUCGUGAUGGAGUUGAGAUUCCCGAUUUUCAGCAUGAUCAGUUUUCAGGACGAGUCCAGAGAGACAAAGACGUCCUCAGAGAAGGACGAAUCAGACUCCAUGUGUCCAGACUGAGGACUGAAGACUCUGGUCUGUAUUGGUGUGACGUGAAAACUGAAGAUGGAUUCAACUCUGCAGAAUGUCGACUCAACGUUACUGCAGCUGAUCAGAUUAAAACUCAGAGACCAACUUUGACUCCAGAACCAGAGAGACAAUGAAGGAGCAUCAUCUUCAUCGUUCUGGGAUCAAUAGCAGCACUAAUUGUUCAUUUGAGUUUAGUUGAUUAAUAAUUUUGCCGCCACAGAAACACCAGGUUAGAUUUAAUUAAACUGAUGAAUAAAAUGUUAGAUUGUAAUGAAUUAAUAUAUUCUAAUAAUGAUGAUCAGUUUAUUGUUAUUGUUUCCAUUUCCUGCUUUAAAUCAUUUUUAAAUGUUUUCUGACUCAGUCAGAACUAUUGAUCAGUUAUUGUACUAUGGAUCAGCUGAUUGUUACUGAUAAAGUGAUUUAAUUUAUUAUUUUCACAGGUAUAUUGUAAUAAAUAUUUUUAUAAAUAUGUUAUGAAGAAAAAACACAAUGAAGCCUUUGGUUAUAAAGUUAUAAAGGUCAAUAUUUCAUUGCUUUCAAGUGAUGAUUUUUAUACGUUUAAUUAAUUUUAAAGAUGAACAUGAACCAUUAAAUGUGUUUAUUAAUUUAGAUUUUCACCAUCAUUGUUUUUGUAGAAACUUUAUGAACGUAAAUGUUAAAGUUUCAUUUCAGAACCGUCAAUUCUUCAACAUUUCCAAAGUUUUCUGUGUUUCAACUCAAAGCUUUUAAUGAGUUUAAUUUCUGAUUACAUGAUUUUUCUGUAGUUUUCAUCAAUGAACAGAAACUGAACUUUUAUUAAAAACCUGUUUGUUUUUAGCACAGCAAUUCACUACUGAUUAACAUUGGACUGAAUAAUAACCUAAAGUAAUAAUAAAAAUGAUAAUA